UCUAUUUUCUGUGUGUGCUGCUGCCAGAGAGGCAGUCAGCAGACCAGCAGUUUGUGUAAUGCUUCAAGCUACAGCGGGCAAAUUUAAAGCUGUAUGCUCAGAACAACAUAAUAAAUACUUAUUGAAAAUGCAUUUCUAUUUCUAAGCGGGGCUCACUCAUGCAUUAUACAAAACACCUAGGGCUCCAGUAGCAGACACAAGGGGACAAAUAAGGUAUACUGUGACUCGAGUCCUUAAAACUAAACUAUGGGGCUUUUAACAGUGGAGAGCAGAAAUAAACAAACAAACAAAAAUUCCCCUUAAGUCGAAAACUAACAGCUUUGAAGGAAACCCAAGGCUUAAAAUGGAAACUUUAAAGAAGUUGUAAUUUUAAAAAUAUCUUAGAACUGUGAGGGUAAGAAGGGACUAGAGGGGAGUCAACGGUGGUAGAUAGCAUAUUGAUUGCCUUACAGAGUGGAAAAUUAUUGCCCUGUAGGUAGGGAAAGUGAUCAACAGUGUGAUAAAACAGUUGAAGGUUUUUAUGGCCCUUUCUACCUACUAUAGAGGAAAAGGAAAAGCAUUCUAAACCCACUCUCACACCCACUCACCCCCACCCACACACACUCUCUCACUCCUGUCUGCCUGGUCUGUUGGAAGAGAAUCAAUAGUAUUUAAAUUUUUACGCGUUCAACAAAGACAAUCCCUUCCCCUUGGAGGAAACAUCUUGAGUACAAUGUGGGAAGCUUCUUCGGAAGGGUUCAGCAGCUCCUCCCUGGCCUCCUGGAUUCUCGUCCUUGCUCUUCACCACAUCGUUCUUACUCCUAAUUUUUCUUUCUAUCUCUAAAGAAUAUACAAAGAGAUCAAGAAUUGUUUUCAAUGUGAUACCCCUUGGCUCUUCCCAAUAAAGUUGUCUAUUCAGCACCUCCCCAUACCAAACUCCUUUUAUGUUUUAGUCUUUUAUGCAAUGUGGUAUGUAUUUUCAUAUCAACUAUGAACAUCACUCUGUGUAUUUUUCAGGUUUGUCUAAUUGGUGGCCCAUGGAAAAAUGUGUCCCAUGGUAUCUAAGAACGUAGCUCAACACAUUUGUAGUUGACAAUGCCAUGUUGAAACGUCAAAAGGGUCUCAUGUAGCCGAGGCUGAUCCUAAACUCACUAUGUAGCCAAGGCUGGCUCAUACUGGUGACUUUCCUAUUUCUGGCUUACAGAUGUUUGUCUGUCCAUCCUUUGACUAUGGGCUGGUCUUGUGACUUGACCUGUUGAACAUGAACCAAGUAAUAUCAGGUGUUGUUUGAGGCUGGACUUACACAGCUGUGGAAUCAUUUGCCAUCACUCUUGACAUGAAGAAUGUUAAACAGGAUGAAUCCUUUCUGGAGAGAA